GUGGGGAAUCUUGCGCAAUGGGGGAAACCCUGACGCAGCAACGCCGCGUGGGUGAUGAAGGCCUUCGGGUCGUAAAGCCCUGUCAGGUGGGAAGAACCUCGUCGGUGCUAAUAUUACCGACGCUUGACGGUACCACCGAAGGAAGCACCGGCUAACUCCGUGCCAGCAGCCGCGGUAAUACGGAGGGUGCAAGCGUUGUUCGGAAUUACUGGGCGUAAAGAGCGUGUAGGCGGUUAAGCAAGUCAGAUGUGAAAGCCUUCCGCUUAACGGGAGAACGGCAUUUGAAACUACUUAGCUGGAGUUCGGGAGAGGAGAGUGGAAUUCCCGGUGUAGAGGUGAAAUUCGUAGAUAUCGGGAGGAACACCGGUGGCGAAGGCGGCUCUCUGGCCCGGUACUGACGCUGAGACGCGAAAGCGUGGGGAGCAAACAGGAUUAGAUACCCUAGUAGUCC
rnacentral:rRNA from 1 species